rnacentral:lncRNA from 1 species
UACCAAAUGUCAAUAUCCAAUUCUCAUAAACGUAAUGAUCACACUUAAUACACAUUACACAACCUCCAAGUUUUUAACAAAUACACAUCCGAAAGACUAAUAAUAAUUAUAAGUCUGACUAUUUGACACAACACAACCCCUAUGUAGUGGAGCAACUCAGAGUGAAAGUCUAGCGAUGCCAUUACCUACGUUGCAGCAAGUCUUGAUGUGCUGAGCGAAAGACUUGAGCUGACUACUUAUCUGCAAAAUGGAGAUAAAGGGGGUGAGUCUCAUAGACUCAGUGAUCAUCAACUCCAUGAGCAGGGCAUAGACCGAAAACAAGCUAGGGGCAAAAGUUUUGAAUGUUAAAACAUAAAAGUAUGAAUAAACCAAUUAAAAUAAAAUGAAGCAUUUGUGCCUUAUUUGUAAAACUAGGAAUUUUAGUGCAACGUAACCAUUUAAAAAUAAUUGUAUCCAAACCCGUAUAAGUAUAAGAUUUCCUAUCUUUGCAAUCAUUCAACAACUUUACUCAAAUCAAUCCAAAAUAAACACGCAUGCUCCCAUGAAAUCAAGUAUUAUCAAGCUUAUAAAUCCAUAAAUCACCUAGUAUGUGGGGUUAAAUCCAACAUCAUAGUAUAAAUAGGGAAGUUGUGGAAAAUCUCGUAGUUCUUACCAUGCGAAAGAAUACGUAUUAAAAAUCCAAAGAGAUAUCACUCUCAAGUAGGUAAUAGAAAUAAAGAACUCAUGGAC